CCGCACCGUCACAUAAAGUAGUCCUCUUUUUCAAACUAAUCUUUCCGUUGUUAUGCAGCCGUUUUCGUCGCAAACUAUGACACCGUAAAACUGCUUUCUGUGCUAACGAACAAGUCAGAGGACGAUUCGGGACAAUUUGUCCUUUAUACUGCAUCCUUUCACUGUCCCAUUCUCUAGCUGGCUUCCCGCGCGUAGUGAUACGUGGUGUUCGCAGGCCCGGCUGAAUGAGAUUGAAGAAGAGUUCUUGUUUUGUAUGGCAGUUUCUCUGCUUUUCAUAGGUUUUUGUAAGGAAAGAAAUUCAACUCGUCCGCUAAGGAAUGCGUUAUCCCACGCUAUGAAGACAGUAGCGUAUGAAAAGGAAUAAAGUCACACACGGGACGGGAUCCGGUGCUGAAUAUCGGGCUGAGAGUAAAUAUUUAUUUAAAUCAUUAGCGUGUGUGAGGAGCAGCAGGGCUGACUGACUGACUGACUGACUGGUGGCGGAGUGAGUACGAGGGCUCCCCCACACUGCCAGUUGGAUGGUGUUCAAGACAGCAGUCGCUGUGAAGGCUGAGGGAGGUGUGGAAUUUGGGCAGAAGGGCUUGAUGAUGGAGCUACAGAGUCUACAGGAGGCUCUCAAAGUGGAGAUACAGAUUCAUCAGAAGCUAGUUGCACAGAUGAAGCAAGAUCCACAGAACGCUGAGCUGAAGCUACAGCUGCAUGACCUUCAGGCCAAGAUCACAGUGCUGAGCGAGCGACAGAAAAAGGUGGUGGAGCAGUUGAGGAGAGAUUUGCUGGUGAAGCAGGAUUCAGCGGAGAUCAGGCUCCAGACACACACGCAGCUCCCUCUACAGGCCGAUGGCAAAACUACUACACUGAUCUCCAACCAGAACCAGAGCUCUCUUCCUCCAACUCACCUCAACACUCCACAAAACUCCGUGAGUGUGACUCCAGUCAUUGCCACUAAGACUCUACCUCUGAUGCUGAGAGCUGCCACACCCACCACUCCCAUUGCCAUGAUGCCUACACCCACCAUCGCCAUGGUUACCACCCUCACCAAUACGCCCCGCCCCAGCCUUCCAAACUCAGACCCCCAGAAUUCAUCGAUAGGUCUCCAGACAGCCAGCAAGCCAGCCAAUCAGGGAACUGAGCCUGUGCGGAUUGUUCCCAAAAACACCAUUGUUGUAAUGCCCAAAACAUCUGUGGCUCCCGCAGCACUGCAGCCAAUCCUGGCCUCAUCUCAGCAGCCUGUGCUCCUUACUGCCAAGCUCAGCUCAGCUCUGCUGCCCUCAACAGGCCCAGUGCACCAACUCCACAUUUUUAAUCCCCAACCUGGCACUGCCAAUGCCCCGCCUGGAGCCACUAACGCCACCCAGCCGUGCCCUGGCACUGCCCAGCCUGGCUUUAACAUAAUCCAGCCUUGCCCCAGCAUCACCAUGACACUCAGCACCAACAUCAGUCAGUUCAGUACUAGCAGCACAAAGCACAACACACAGCUUCCCAGCAUUCUCAUCUCGCCCCAACCCAGCAAACCCCAUGCUGUAUGCUCUGUUCAAGCUAACACCGACUCUGCAAACGCAGGCACACCUCACACAACCCGGAGCAGCGAGCCCUGCCCUAAUACCCCUACACCUGACACAGUAGACAGAGUGGAGCCAAAGACAUCAACCAGCAGCCCUGCACCUUGCCCAGUUCCACUGAAAUCACCUGUCCCUUCUCCAACCUCACACACACCCAGCACACACACUCAGUCACACACAAACACACCUGUAACUUCACACACCCCUACACCCAAGCCAAGUCAGGAUAACCCGCUGAAACUGGCCUUCAUGCUGUCUCUGGGGCUCGUAACACACGACUAUCUGGAGGAGAUUCAGAGCAAACGCCAAGAGAGAAAGAGACGAACAACAGCAAAUCCCGUGUAUAGUGGAGCAGUGUUUGAGCCAGAGCGUAAGAAAAGCACAGUGUCUUACCUGAAUUCUGCUAAUCAAGAGUACAGUAAGAGAGGUCGCCCACCCAAACCCAGCAGUGUGGUGGAGAGGGGCAUCAGCCCUUUGACCCCCACCAGCCUACACCCAGCGUGUGUGGGUCCUCACUUCCCCAUCUUUCCACAAUCCCUCUCAUCACAUCCAUCCCCAUCCAGCCCUCGUCUCAGCCUGAGCUCAGUAGGGGAUAUUCUGAAGAAGGAUGAAGUGAUAGAGUGGCCUGGAACUCUUGCCAUAGUCCAUUCCUACAUUUCUUACAAAGCAGAGAGAGAACAGGAGAAGCAAAGGCUGGAGAAGUGGAGCUCUGAACUGCAGCAGGAGAGAGAGGAGCUUGAGCUCAAAGCUAAACAGCUCAGUGACUCCAUCACGAUAUGUACAGAGAGCAGGAAUGGUGUUCUGGCCCGACAGAGGGAAAUGGAGGCCUCAAUAGAGAAGGUGAAGGAUCUAGUACGUCUCAUUAGGGGCAUCCAACUGCCCUCUCUGCCCCAGUUCUUGGCCCUGGGCAUUAGCAGCAGAAAUCCAGGCACUAUUUUGACCCAACAACCCACCAUCAGUCCCAGCUCGGAGGAAAACCAACAUCCAAACAGAAAGAACAGCACAAGCUUGGGUAGUCUCUCUGAUGUAGGCAACACCUUUACAGAUCUCAGAGAUGCCUUGAACCUACACAACAAUCCCGCAAGCACCAACAGCAGCAUCUCAAGCGCUGAGAAAAUGACCGGGGACACCAGUGAAACGAAGAUCACUUCCGUUAGCCGACACGGUUCUGUUACAAACACCUCUCCAACACUCAGCAAUACACACAGCCAGAACACCAUGUGUGCCAGCUCAAACGGGACUCUGGAGCCAGAGGAUGGAUAUGACGAAAGCCAAAACCAAAAUAUCGCCAGUGAGAAAGGUUGCAUGGGAGACCUAAAUAAAAACAGCAUCAGGGACCUUAGAGGAAGCGUGGAGCCUCCGUUGCCUACAGUAAUGCCCUUGCCAGAGGUAGUACAAGGUAUAGAAUAGUAUCGAAAUUAAAGCGUGCACCCCGUUCUACCCCCUUACACCCCAUAGACCUCCGAUCUAAAAGUGUCCUAAGUUGCCAUUUAAUGUUUCUGUUCCUGUGUUGUCUUGUCUGUAAAGAAUCCACAGUGCCAUUUUGGAUGAGCAGGAUUAAAAGUUCUAAAGUACCAGCACCUGAAAAGAAAAUUAACACAAAUAAUAAUCAAUAAUAAUAUAAAGAAAGAAAUAAAUUAAAGAGUUAUCAGAGUUUAAGAUAUCACACCAACGUGUGCCUGCUACAGAUGCCAUUGCACCUCUUGGUUGGGAAGCGUACAGAACAACUGAGCAAAGGCUUUUUACAGCUAUUAAAACAUUAGAAUUAGGACAUAAGUAGGCAUGUGCCGAUAAUAUACAAUACUUAUAUACAAUAUAUUAUUGGGAUAUUAAACAUGCACGAUCUUGUUGUAGGCAAUAAUAUUAUUAUGCCUGUUUUUUUUGCUCUUGGGACGAGGUUAAUAUGAGGACAGCCAAGUGAAGGACCUUACUUUGGCCAGUUUUGAAGGCAGCAUCACAUUUAACACUCGGCGUGAAAGCAGUCACAUUAUUCCAUUUAUCAUGAACGUUUCAAAUGUGCUGACUGAAAUCCUUCAUUGUUCACUUUAGCUAGCUAUCAUAAAACAGUCCGGUAGGCAAACAGUUCGUUCUUUAGCUGUUGGUCAGCUAGUACAGUAUGUCAUCUCAUUAUUUGAUAGAAAAACUAACCUUAUGUGUAAAGCUAAUGUUGUUAUUAGCAUUGUUCAUUAGUUUAUUCCUUCAUCUCCAGUAUCACUUUAUCCAGGUCAGAGUCAGUGUAUCUGGAGCACCCAGGAACCCCAGGCAUGAGGACAGGAAGACACCCUGGAUGUGAUGUCAGUCCAUCACAUCCAGGGAUUUCUUAUUUUACCAACUUGAUUGUAAAAUAAAUGCACAAGAACUUCGACAUUAUGAAUAUGAGGUUGCUAAAGCUUGUCCCUGCUAUUUGCAGUUAAAAUGGAGUGCGACAAGACAGAUACAGGUAAGCAUGUAGUAAUUAUUAUUAUAUGUGAUAUUGUGAUUACAUCAUAAACAAUGAUAAAAAAAAGUUAUAUCACAGUAUGAAAAAUGUAUAUCGGUACAUGUCUACUUCUGGUCCUAUUGCUUUUUAAAAAAGAGUAAUAAGGCUGAUCGAGUGAUAGAAUCAGUCCAGUACAGGUGUAGGGCUUUUUUUUAUGUUUUUUCCCCCUCUGGGCUCCAAAGCAGAACAGCUAUGAGAAAGACAUGAAUCAUGAUUUAUAAGCAGGUCUUCCAGGUGUUCAAAAAGCCACACACCUAUUAGAUGUAUUUGUUCUAUUUAUAACGUCCAUGUGCAGCGAUCCUGUAAGUAUAUUUUUCAAUCGUUGUCUUUUCAAAUAAAUUACUCAGCUCUGUUUUGCCAAAUAUUGUUUGCCACAGGGACAUGUAUUUUUUACUUUAUGGCGAUUAAAUAGAUGUAUGAACAACAGCAUUGUAUUUGUGUAGCAUCAGUAUUGAGGACUCUUAAUAAAGCGUCAGACACACACAGCCUUUACUAGUGAUCGAAACGACAUGUGUCUGAGUGUUGAGGCAGUUAGUGAGACUGGUGUCAGAUCUCAAACACAAACUUUACAACACAGGAUUUCGCAUGGAAUGUUCCAUCUCUUUCCCAAAUCGGUUUUUCAAAUCAGACUAUAAUAAAUCGAUCACUUCAUGAACAGAAAGACUCUCUAAUCAGACUAUACGCGGACAUGGUGGUUAGAUUCUCUCUAUCGUGUACCACAGGGCUGACGGCAUCUGGACACUAAGUAAAAGUUAGUUAGUGAAGGUUUCUGCAGCGCACUGAUGGUAGACAUGGUGUUCUGUCACUUGUCACCGGUGGGGUUAUUUGGCCCUGUGGUACUUAACUGUUGGUUUAUGCACAUUUUAUCAAAUGUUUUCUUUGUGAAACGAUGCUUAUGUAGCAUUAUACAAGGGCUUUCUAUUUUGUAUUGUUUUAUUAGCUGAGGUGUUCGCCUUCCACAUGGCAGCACUGUUAAGACGACUCGGAGCAAAAGCACAGGAGGGCGAGGUUUAGCUAAGAACCCAACAGCACAGGAACAUGAAUGAACCCAACACCGCUCCACUCAUCUGCCAUCAUAUCAUGUUCUAGAUGUCUAAUACAAUUAAGAGCCACACUUGCUUUUUAUAGAGAAUGGUCCUGCCCAAUUAGCUUCCCAAGGAUGCCCGUGAGUAUUGACAUUAAUCAUUCAACGUACCACUGAGUACUCUACAGGCUUUACAUGUUGGUCAUAAUACAGCAAUACACAUUCUGUAAUGCUGUAAUCUGUGUAAGGGCGGUUACAGUACAGUUUGGUAAAACGUCACACGGGGUCACCUGAUAACAUGUUAUGUUCAUUACAUCCCCUGGGCGCUAAUUCAGAAAAGAGGCUUAAUGCAUGUCUUUCUUGUGACUUGAAGAGUGGCCGGUCAGGCUGUUCCAUACAUCUGGCUCAAACGAUGUGCCGGAGUUUAACAUUUCCAUUAGGGGUUGGGAAGCUUUGGUCUAUUUUUGGCUUUGUAGGCAAGCACUAGAAAUUUAGGCCUAGGUCAGACAGACAUGCGAAGCCAGUGGAUGGAAUGCAUUAUUGACACGGGUGAAUACGAUUAGUGCUGCUGGAGCUACAUGGAGAGAAAGGGUCAGAUUCUCACGAUGUGCUCAGAAUGAUAUCUGACAUUAUUCUGAGGUUUCGUGUACAGUAUUUUUGGGAGGAGUCAUCAAGGACUUUGCAGAAUCAAGGCAUAGACAUUGAUUUACAGUUAUAUACAAUAGCUCAGUCUUGCUGGGAUUUAGCUGUAGUUGAUCAGAUGAAAUGUCUGUCAGAGAUGCUGAGAUACUGAUAGUAACCUGGGAAUAUGAUGGCGAGAAAGAAAAGGUACGUUGGCAUAACAAUGUUAAGUCAGGUACAGAUAUUACCUCACUAAGAGAAUGAAUAUAGAGGAAAAGAAAAGGGGAUGUUUUUACCAAAUACCUUAAUGAUCCACCAUCUCGUGGCUGUAUUCAGCUCUUUGCAUUAUUAACUCAAAAUAAGUACUAUGUUUUUAUGCUUGAUUAACUAAUAGAAAACUAAUAGAAUAGUCGUUUAGAUUUGCUCCACAGUGCAGUGAAUGCAUCUUGUGUUCUCACCACCUGUAAGCUGGGUGAGGGGCAGAUUCACUGACAGCCAGGUGAAAAGCACAUGAUGGACAGUUUUAAGGUACAGACUAGACAUAAUUGAUCUUAAUCCUGAUUUAUACUUCCAUUUGAAAGGUUACUGACCUUUGUGGAGAGUUGGAAAGGCACUUGGGGCAGUUUAGAAAAGUCCCAAACUGCCUGGCCUCCACAGUAAUUCAGCAGAAGUGUGACUGAAUAGGGGCAGAAGCCAGCUUGAGCCCCGACAGCAUGUCUCAGACAAAUCACAAUGUUUUGUCACAGUGAAACAGGUUAACGGAUGCAAAUGUAACUCUUCAAUCAAAGCUUUAAGAAAAGUGCAAAAGCCUCUAUUCAUGCUUCAAUAAAUGUUUUAACAAUACAAUUGUGUAUAAGCUUCCACAGAUGCAGCAAAUGCCAACAUUCUAAUCUUAGUUUAAACCAGACAACAAUAAAAUGUAUGCUUACCUACUGACCUAUCAUUCUGCUUACUGUCCAAGUCAAAGCUAAGAUCCUCCUAGUGACACUCACUUUGGAUAAAGCACAAAACAGUUUUUUAAAUCCACACUGUACAGGCUCUGUACAAAACCAGGUGUGGUCUCUCAUCUAUUCUGGAACUCCCCUAGGAGAAUGGCCAAGGUGGGUGUGGGGAAAGUCACAAGUCUCAAAGUGAGGGUUACACAUUUAAAAUUUUUCCCAGUGGCCAAGAAUUGUUUUUUAUUAUUAUGAUGAGGCUUCGAGUCUUCCCCCUAGUCCAUAGUCCCGCAGAAUUUGAACCCGGGCAGUGAAAUGUUAUUAUAUGUUUGUGCAAGUCACAUAAGUCAAUAAUAAAUAAGCACAAAUAAGCUCUCUAGAUUACUUGGUGUAACGGUCAUUGAUCAAUUCUUCAAUUAUUUGAUUUGAGGGUGUAUAUUUUGGACACUCAAGUAAAAGGAACGGAAGAGCUCUCAACUGAUCACCAGUCAUGAACAAAUGUACCUGGCAAACCAGGUACUUUCAGUUGCUCAUGGGUGUCUGACUGAACUAGAUAAGUUUAACUUCCAUCUAUCGAAGUACUGAUUCCUGGUACUGAGUGAUGGCAGGAAUGGCAAAUGGACCAUGUUCCAGUCUUCAAUUGCAAGAUGUUUACCUGAUUCAACUGAUAUGAAGGAAAGAAAAGCUGCAAUGAAAUCAGCU